rnacentral:tRNA from 1 species
GUCCCUAUAGCUCAAUGGAUAGAGCGCGGGCCUCCGGAGCCUGAAAUGAAGGUUCGAAUCCUUCUGGGGACGCUA